AGUGAACGCUGGCGGUAGGCCUAACACAUGCAAGUCGAACGGCAGCACAGUAAGAGCUUGCUCUUACGGGUGGCGAGUGGCGGACGGGUGAGGCAUACAUCGGAAUCUACUUUUUCGUGGGGGAUAACGUAGGGAAACUUACGCUAAUACCGCAUACGACCUACGGGUGAAAGCAGGGGAUCUUCGGACCUUGCGCGAUUGAAUGAGCCGAUGUCGGAUUAGCUAGUUGGCGGGGUAAAGGCCCACCAAGGCGACGAUCCGUAGCUGGUCUGAGAGGAUGAUCAGCCACACUGGAACUGAGACACGGUCCAGACUCCUACGGGAGGCAGCAGUGGGGAAUAUUGGACAAUGGGCGCAAGCCUGAUCCAGCCAUACCGCGUGGGUGAAGAAGGCCUUCGGGUCGUAAAGCCCUUUUGUUGGGAAAGAAAAGCAGCAGAUUAAUACCCCGCUGUUCUGACGGUACCCAAAGAAUAAGCACCGGCUAACUUCGUG
rnacentral:rRNA from 1 species